GAUCAUGGCUCAGGAUGAACGCUAGCGGCAGGCUUAAUACAUGCAAGUCGUGGGGCAGCAGGUUUGUAGCAAUACAGAUGCUGGCGACCGGCAAACGGGUGCGGAACACGUACAGAACCUUCCUUUGAGCGGGGAAUAGCCCAGAGAAAUUUGGAUUAAUACCCCAUAGUAUAAUGAAGUGGCAUCACUUUAUUAUUAAAGAUUUAUCACUCGAAGAUGGCUGUGCGGCUGAUUAGGUAGUUGGCGGGGUAAAGGUCCACCAAGCCUGCGAUCAGUAACUGGUGUGAGAGCACGACCAGUCACACGGGCACUGAGACACGGGCCCGACUCCUACGGGAGGCAGCAGUAAGGAAUAUUGGUCAAUGGAGGCAACUCUGAACCAGCCAUGCCGCGUGGAGGAUGAAGGUCCUCUGGAUUGUAAACUUCUUUUAUAUGGGACGAAAAAGGCUUUUCUAAGUCGUCUGACGGUACCAUAUGAAUAAGCACCGGCUAACUCCGUG
rnacentral:rRNA from 1 species